CCCUUGAUUUUUCGAGACAGGAUUUCCUGGAACUCACUCCGUAGACCAAGCUGGCCUGAAGCUUAGAGAUCCUCCUGCUUCGGCUUCCGAUGGAAUGAAAGGCCAGUACCAGCACCACACAGCCAUGCUUGGGUUCUUAUCCUUUCUGUUUAUCACCUGGAAAGACAUCACUCUGAAGACUCAUUGAAAUUGAACAAGCAAGCCGGGUGGUGAUGGCAGGCAUUGCCUGUAUUUUAAUUGUUCCUGGGAAGCAGCUUGGAUAGUCAGAUUCCUACUUCCCUAAGGAGUAAGUAAUAUUGUUUAUUUUCUCAGAUGAUAAGCUAAGACAUAUUGGUUAAAUGCAGCACUUAAAAUGAAAAAGAUGACCACUAGCAGAACUCAAAAAUAGUCUGAGUCACUUCCAUAUUGUAGGAAAGAAAGAAAAAUACACAAACAAACAAACAAAAAAGCAACAGAGGACCAACAAGACGGUGAAUCAGGCAGAGGAGCUUGCUGUCAAACCCUACCACUUGAGUUCAGUCCCCAGGAUGCAUGGUACAAGGCUGGAGAGAAGGCACAUCCUGCUCUAGCAGAGGACUGGAGAGAGAGUGAGCGAGCAGCAAGCGUAAUGGACUGUCAAAUGCCAGCAACCUGUUUACUGUGAUCUUUACUCUGUGUGCCUACUGUAGGGCAGCGGGUUCAGAAGGCAGAGGCAAUGGCUCCUGCAGUCUGUGAGUGUGUACUUCAGGGUAG
rnacentral:lncRNA from 1 species